rnacentral:misc_RNA from 1 species
GAUGAAGAACGUAGCGAAAUGCGAUAAGUAAUGUGAAUUGCAGAAUUCAGUGAAUCAUCGAAUCUUUGAACGCACAUUGCGCCCGUCAGUAUUCUGGCGGGCAUGCCUGUUCGAGCGUCAUUACGCCCCUCAAGUCCCCUGUGGACUUGGUGUUGGGGAUCGGCGAGGCUGGUUUUCCAGCACAGCCGUCCCUUAAAUUAAUUGGUGGUCUCGCCGUGGCCCUCCUCUGCGCAGUAGUAAAACACUCGCAACAGGAGCCCGGCGCGGUCCACUGCCGUAAAACCCCCCAACUUUUUAUAGUUGACCUCGAAUCAGGUAGGACUACCCGCUGAACUUAAGCAUAUCAAUAAGCGGAGGA